rnacentral:rRNA from 1 species
AACGAACGCUGGCGGCAGGCUUUACACAUGCAAGUCGAACGCCCCGCAAGGGGAGUGGCAGACGGGUGAGUAACGCGUGGGAAUCUACCUAGUUCUACGGAACAACUGAGGGAAACUUCAGCUAAUACCGUAUACGCCCUACGGGGGAAAGAUUUAUCGGAAUUAGAUGAGCCCGCGUAAGAUUAGCUAGUUGGUGGGGUAACGGCCUACCAAGGCGACGAUCUUUAGCUGGUCUGAGAGGAUGAUCAGCCACACUGGGACUGAGACACGGCCCAGACUCCUACGGGAGGCAGCAGUGGGGAAUAUUGGACAAUGGGCGAAAGCCUGACCCAGCCAUGCCGCGUGAGUGAUGAAGGCCCUAGGGUUGUAAAGCUCUUUCAGUGGGGACGAUAAUGACGGUACCCACAGAAGAAGCCCCGGCUAACUUCGUGCCAGCAGCCGCCGUAAAAC